rnacentral:lncRNA from 10 species
CUCCAGAGCUACUGAAAUAUCAUGACCUCUCUCAGACCAGCAUGGAGAAGGGAGGGAUUGCUUCAGGCCAUGAGUAUCAGGUUUUGACUGAAACUUAAAGGUGGGCAGGACUGAUUUAUAUUUACAGAAUCCAGGAUGGGGUGGGAGGAAGAUAGAUUCGAUGACAUGAGCAGUGUACCAGAGGAGGGAAAAUACAGUGUGCCUGGGGAAUGUUUUGUUCCUUUAACCAACUGCAGAUUAAAGAAUCUCUGAACCAAACUAUGACCUGCAAGUCCCCACUUCAAGACAUCCUGCCUUUUCAGAGUGAACCAAUGUAUACCUUCCAUGUACUGAUUUAUGUCUUUGCCUGUAAUUCCUGCCUCCCUGAAACAUACAGAACCAAACUGAAUCUGACGGCCUUGGGCACACUUUCUCAAGACUCCUUGAGACUGUGAAUACUGGUGAUAUGGACAGGAGACAGGGAAACACUGGGUAGAAGAGGGUAGUUCCUGGGCAAAGGCCCCACCCUCAAGCCUGAAGACCUGCAGCCCUAAAUGGGAACAGGCAUUUCCGUUUUCAUGUCCAAAAAGCUACCUUUUGGCCCAAAACACCCCCUAUCGUGCACUCAUAUAAACUCUGAACCUGAGGUUCCAGAAGCAGACCAGCAGACCAACAGACCAGCACACCAGCAAGCCAGCUGACCAGCAGACAGAUGGUGAAAUGAUGCGGCAGAGAGAGAGAGGGAAGAGGAACAUCUGGACGCUGAGAGGAGCUUGCCUGGGGGAGGUUGGAGAAGAGUCCAGCCACUGGGCUGCCCGACUUCAGAGGAAGUUCACCUUCCCACUCCAUCCCCACUUCCCACUCCCCAUCCAUCUUGCUGAGAGCCACCUCCACUACUCAAUAAAACCUUGCACUCAUCCUUC